rnacentral:rRNA from 1 species
GAUUACCCGCUGAACUUAAGCAUAUCAGUAAGCGGAGGAAAAGAAACUAACUAGGAUUCCGUCAGUAACGGCGAGUGAAGACGGAAUAGCCCAAGGUUCAAACCUGGAUCUCUUCGAGGUUAGGUGAUGUGACCUAUGGACUGAUGGAGCCCGCUGCUGUGACCGCUAAUUCCGUUUGGAAUUUCGAGUCGUAGAAGGUGAUAACCCUGUUCGCGGUAUCACAGUAGUUGGACUUUGUCAUUAGCUCCACGAGUAGGAAUGUCUGAAAUUGCAUUCUGAAUGGGUGAUAAGAUUCAUCCAAGGCUAAAUAUAUGUUAGGAGAUCGAUAGCAUACAAGUACCGUGAGGGAAAGGUGAAAAGAACUUUGAAAAAAGGUUUAAAAGUAUUUGACACCGUUUAUGUGGAAGCGUUUACUUGGACCCUCUAUUAAUGACGUCGGUUUAGCUCUAAUUCUUAGGUGGCCAAAGUAGAGUGUUACGUGCUGAUCAAAAGGUAACGGACAUUUGAUUCAUUGGUUAUCGACGAGGAAGGUACUCUAAAUCGGCCAGUUACUAACGGGUGAGAUCUGAUGUUUAUAAAAUGGGGGAUGAGGCUUAUCGGCUUGCUGGUGGCUCGCUUUCAAUAAUGGACAUUGGGUUUCAUCAAGAGUGCAAAAUGGUGGCAAUUCACUAUUAGUGGUUAUUAAUUUUGUCUGCGUGGCUUGGCCUUGUCUACAGGUUAUCUUCGGAUGGCUUGUAGCUUUGUUGAACGCGUGGGCUUAAUGUUGUGACUCUAGUAGCGUUACCAUAUCGUUAGAGUGGGUCCAAUAAAUGUCCCGUCUUGAAACACGGAUCAAGGAGGCCGUUUUGUGUGCAAGUGUAAGAGUAAUUAAAACUCUGACGCGUAUUGAAAGAAAGAAUACUCCAAAAGAUCGUAACCACGGUUACCUUCUGUAAGGAGUGCCCGAAUCAUGAGAACUCUGUUUCGAAAGGAUUUGCGGUUGAGCACCUAGAAUGGGACCCGAAAGGUUGUGAACUAUGCCUGAGGAAGGCGAAGUCAGGGGAAACUCUGAUGGAGGCUUGUCGCAAUGCUGACGUGCAAAUCGCUUGUCUAACUUGGGUAUAGGGGCGAAAGACUAAUCGAACAACCUAGUAGCUGGUUCCUUCCGAAGUUUCCCUCAGGAUAGCUGGAGCAGUAUUCUAGUUCCAUCUUGUAAAGACAAUGAUUAGCAGUUUCGGGGGCGUAAUGCUCUCAGCUGAUUCUCAAACUCUGAACGGGUGGGUAUCAUUUUAAUUCACUUAAUUGGAUUUUAAAAUUAAAUUGUACAUGUGCAAUGAAAAAUAGGAGCUCUUAGUGGGCCAUUUUUGGUAAGCAGAACUGGCGAUGU